rnacentral:lncRNA from 1 species
CCUGAAAAUACUGGUUCUGUAUUGAGUUGACGAUCCGUGAUGAACCUCAGAAGCUGAGAUGGACCUGUUUACUCCUCACCUGGAUGCUGGUCCUGCUUAUGAAUUCAGAGUCAAUUUCAAGUUCCUCUUUCUCACUUCUGUGUUUCACACCAUGAUAUUAAAAACUGUGACCCGAGUUUCUC